AGAAAAACAAAGAAUCCAAACAAUUGUCAAAAAAGAAACGAAAAAAUGGACGAAACAAUCUGUCGUGUGGCCGUGCUUUGAUGUUCAUGUUGUUUGUCUCUCCCUCGCCUAUUUCCAAAAACGCGGAUGUCGUCAUUUUCAAAA
rnacentral:ribozyme from 11 species